GGGAAGGUAGCUCAGUGGUAGAGUGCUUGCCUUGCAUGCACGAGGCCCUGGGUUCAAUUCCUCAGCACCA
rfam:Dipodomys ordii contig_46447, whole genome shotgun sequence.